rnacentral:lncRNA from 1 species
UCCAACAGAUCCCCAAUCCUGCCUUUUUUCUGUCCACCUAUGACUUCAUCGUGUACCUGCUGGGAGAGCAUGCUUAGUGACAGGGCCACGUGGUUGUCACUAGAAGAAUAAAGCUGAAAAAAACCCUAGAGAUUUUCUUUUCCCUUGAUGUUUAGUGUUCAAAACUGAAACAGCAAAGGCCAUAGAAUACCCGGCUCAUGUCACCUCUUGGAUAUUUCCUUUUGGAUCCAUGUUUCUGGAAGGUUUAAAUUCAUUAACGUUAAUGAUUAAUUAUAAGUUUCUUUUUUAACUUAGGAUUAAGGAUUAAGCAGCAAGUAAAUUAAAUCAUGCUACUUAAUU